rnacentral:rRNA from 1 species
GGUUGAUCCUGCCAGUAGUCAUAUGCUUGUCUCAAAGAUUAAGCCAUGCAUGUCUCAGUAUAAACUCGGUUUGUACAGUGAAACUGCGAAAGGCUCAUUAAAUCAGUUAUAGUUUUUUUGAUAGUACAGCUUUUUUGCUACUGGAUAACCGUGGUAAUUCUAGAGCUAAUACAUGCACACACAGCCUCGACUUGCCGCAAGGCAGAAGAGGUGUAUUUAUUAGAUACAAAACCAACCCGCGUCCUUGUGGCGCGGAGCCUUUCCAGCCUUUUCUUUACCGGGGGGGUUGGAAA